rnacentral:rRNA from 1 species
UACGAAGGGGGCUAGCGUUGCUCGGAUUGACUGGGCGUAAAGGGCGCGUAGGCGGUUCGUACAGUCAGACGUGAAAUUCCUGGGCUCAACCUGGGGGCUGCGUUUGAUACGUGCGGACUUGAGUGCGGAAGAGGGUCGUGGAAUUCCCAGUGUAGAGGUGAAAUUCGUAGAUAUUGGGAAGAACACCGGUGGCGAAGGCGGCGACCUGGACCAGCACUGACACUGAGGCACGAAAGCGCGGGGAGCAAACAGG